rnacentral:rRNA from 1 species
GAUGAACGCUGGCGGCGUGCCUAAUACAUGCAAGUCGAGCGAACAGACGAGGAGCUUGCUCCUCUGACGUUAGCGGGGCCGGGUGAGUAACACGUGGAUAACCUACCUAUAAGACUGGGAUAACUUCGGGAAACCGGAGCUAAUACCGGAUAAUAUAUUGAACCGCAUGGUUCAAUAGUGAAAGACGGUUUUGCUGUCACUUAUAGAUGGAUCCGCGCCGCAUUAGCUAGUUGGUAAGGUAACGGCUUACCAAGGCGACGAUGCGUAGCCGACCUGAGAGGGUGAUCGGCCACACUGGAACUGAGACACGGUCCAGACUCCUACGGGAGGCAGCAGUAGGGAAUCUUCCGCAAUGGGCGAAAGCCUGACGGAGCAACGCCGCGUGAGUGAUGAAGGUCUUCGGAUCGUAAAACUCUGUUAUUAGGGAAGAACAAAUGUGUAAGUAACUAUGCACGUCUUGACGGUACCUAAUCAGAAAGCCACGGCUAACUACGUG